AAGCUCGUAGUUGAAUUUCGGGGUUAGUAGGUUGGUCAUGCCUCUGGUAUGUACUGGUCUCACUGAUUCCUCCUUCCUUAUGAACCGUAAUGCCAUUAAUUUGGUGUUGCGGGGAAUUUGGACUGUUACUUUGAAAAAAUUAGAGUGUUUAAAGCAAGCUAACGCUUGAAUACAUUAGCAUGGAAUAAUGAAAUAGGACGUUCGAUCUUAUUUUGUUGGUUUCUAGGAUUGACGUAAUGAUUAAUAGGGUAGUUGGG
rnacentral:rRNA from 1 species